rnacentral:rRNA from 1 species
GCAGUAGCCGCGGUAAUACGAAGGGGGCUAGCGUUGUUCGGAAUUACUGGGCGUAAAGCGCACGUAGGCGGACAUUUAAGUCAGGGGUGAAAUCCCGGGGCUCAACCCCGGAACUGCCUUUGAUACUGGGUGUCUAGAGUAUGGAAGAGGUGAGUGGAAUUCCGAGUGUAGAGGUGAAAUUCGUAGAUAUUCGGAGGAACACCAGUGGCGAAGGCGGCUCACUGGUCCAUUACUGACGCUGAGGUGCGAAAGCGUGGGGAGCAAACAGGAUUAGAUACCCGAGUAGUCCCUGUCUCUUAUAC